rnacentral:rRNA from 1 species
GAUGAACGCUGACAGAAUGCUUAACACAUGCAAGUCUUUGGCGAAGCUGUGCUUGCACAGCCUAGCCAAGGCGGACGGGUGAGUAACGCGUAAGGGACUUGCCCUGCAGUCAGGGAUAACAGACGGAAACGACUGAUAAAACCUGGUAAAGUCAGGCGGACUCAUGUCCAGCCUGAUGAAAAGGAAUGCUGCAGGAGAGCCUUGCGUCCUAUUAGCUCGUUGGUGGGGUAACGGCCCACCAAGGCGAUGAUAGGUAGCCGGCCUGAGAGGGUGGACGGCCACAAGGGGACUGAGAUACGGCCCUUACUCCUACGGGAGGCAGCAGUGGGGAAUAUUGGACAAUGGGGGCAACCCUGAUCCAGCAAUUCUGUGUGCACGAAGACGGUUUUCGGAUUGUAAAGUGCUUUCAGCAGGGAAGAAGGAAGUGACGGACCUGCAGAAGAAGCGCG